rnacentral:rRNA from 1 species
CUGGCUCAGGAUGAACGCUAGCGACAGGCUUAACACAUGCAAGUCGAGGGGCAGCAUAAAAGUAGCAAUACUUGGUGGCGACCGGCGCACGGGUGAGUAACGCGUAUGCAACCUACCUAUCAGGACGGGGAAUAACCCGGCGAAAGUCGGACUAAUACCGCAUAAAACAGGGGCACCGCAUGGUGAUAUUUGUUAAAGAAAUUCGCUGAUAGAUGGGCAUGCGUUCCAUUAGGUAGUUGGUGAGGUAACGGCUCACCAAGCCGACGAUGGAUAGGGGAACUGAGAGGUUGGUCCCCCACACUGGUACUGAGACACGGACCAGACUCCUACGGGAGGCAGCAGUGAGGAAUAUUGGUCAAUGGGCGAGAGCCUGAACCAGCCAAGUCGCCGUGAAGGAAGAAGGAUCUAUGGUUCGUAAACUUCUUUUGCAGGGGAAUAAAGUGCAGGACGUGUCCUGUUUUGUAUGUACCCUGAGAAUAAGGAUCGGCUAACUCCGUGCCAGCCGCCGC